UACGUAGGGUGCAAGCGUUGUUCGGAAUCAUUGGGCGUAAAGCGCGUGUAGGCUGUUAGUUAAGUCGGAUGUGAAAUCCCUGGGCUCAACCGAGGAAGUGCAUUCGAAACUGGCUAGCUAGAGAGUGGUAGAGGAAGGUGGAAUUCCAAGUGUAGAGGUGAAAUUCGUAGAUAUUUGGAGGAAUACCGGUGGCGAAGGCGGCCUUCUGGGCCACUUCUGACGCUGAGACGCGAAAGCGUGGGGAGCAAACAGG
rnacentral:rRNA from 1 species